rnacentral:rRNA from 1 species
UACGUAGGGGGGCAAGCGUUGUCCGGAAUCAUUGGGCGUAAAGCGCGUGUAGGCGGCCUUGUAAGUCCGUUCUGAAAGCCCGGGGCUCAACCCCGGGAGGCGGAUGGAUACUGCAAGGCUCGAGUCCGGAAGAGGCGAGUGGAAUUCCCGGUGUAGCGGUGAAAUGCGCCAGAUAUCGGGGAGGAACACCAAUGGCGAAGGCAGCUCGCUGGGACGGUACUGACGCUGAGACGCGAAAGCGUGGGGAGCAAACAGG